rnacentral:other from 1 species
AAUUCCCUGCUGUGUGCGACAGCAGCCCCUCGUUUUGAGCCAACACCUUUACUUAGGGAAUUCGAGUUCACAGUGGCUCUCAAGCCGGCUUGACCGGAAGGGAAAGAUUCGUGAGGAGAUUACCCACCUGCUUGCGCGCAGGUUCAAAACAGGGUCUAUGAACGGCACGGCGGGGUCUUU